UACGAAGGGGGCUAGCGUUGCUCGGAAUCACUGGGCGUAAAGCGCACGUAGGCGGACUCUUAAGUCAGGGGUGAAAUCCUGGAGCUCAACUCCAGAACUGCCUUUGAUACUGAGAGCCUUGAGUCCGGAAGAGGUAAGUGGAACUGCGAGUGUAGAGGUGAAAUUCGUAGAUAUUCGCAAGAACACCAGUGGCGAAGGCGGCCAACUGGACCAACACUGACGCUGAGGCGCGAAAGCGUGGGGAGCAAACAGG
rnacentral:rRNA from 1 species